rnacentral:misc_RNA from 1 species
GUAGGUGAACCUGCGGAAGGAUCAUUCAUAAUAAAGUGUUUUAUGGCACUUUUUAAAAAUCCAUAUCCACCUUGUGUGCAAUGUUAGAUCUCGUCAAUCUUGGCGAGAUUUUUAUACAUCAACUCAUUCUUUAACUAAUUUGUCUGAAAAAUAUUAUGAAUACUAAAUUCAAAAUACAACUUUCAACAACGGAUCUCUUGGCUCUC